UACGAAGGGGGCUAGCGUUGUUCGGAAUUACUGGGCGUAAAGGGCGCGUAGGCGGCGUGUCAAGUCAGGCGUGAAAGCCCCGGCUCAACCGGGGAGGGUCGGUGGGGACUGGGCGACUUGAGGACGGCAGGGGCUGGUGGAAUCCCCGGUGUAGUGGUGAAAUGCGUAGAGAUCGGGAGGAACACCUGUGGCGAAGGCGGGUCUCUGGGCCGAUACUGACGCUGAGGAGCGAAAGCGUGGGGAGCAAACAGG
rnacentral:rRNA from 1 species